UUAUGUAUUUAUGUAAGUAUACUGUAAAGUGUUAAAAUAAGAAUGAUCUUGAGUGAGAGGUGAAGGUAGAGGAGAUAAAUGGCAAAGAGAGUGUCAUAUGAAUGAGAAAGGAAGGGGUGAUAGAUGAAUAACGAAGGAAGGAGUGAAAGAGCUGAUAAAC